UUUCUUAAUUCAUUUACUAUUUUUUUACUUUUCUAAAAAUCCAUUAAUUCUAAUAUUAAUUUGAAAAGAAUAGAAAGCAUGGCAUCAGAACACAACCACAACAUCUCUAUCAUCGGUCCUCUCUUUCCCUUUGGGGAAAUUGAUUUCUUACUUUGUUUCUAUCUCCUUUGGCCAUUCUUUUGAUUUCACCAGCAACUAUAAAAGCAUCUAUGACUUUCGUCAAGUGCUUCACCUACUCCUUCCUAUUUUUUUCGCAUAUGAUCUAGUGAUCAGACUACCACCAGGAUAGAAAUUCAAGACAUAUUGCAUCUCCUAAAAUCAUAUCUCUCAUCGUGCCCCGACGAAUACCAAUUCGUUCAUAUUUUGCUUCUAAGGUAAUAAUGGGUGUUGCUUUUGUAAUAACUUAGUCUACGACAGCCCUAAUAAAUAACAUCAAUCAUUUCCUUUGCUUCUUUUUAAUCAAACUUUGUAUUGCUUAAGUAUAGCUUAAGUACUCUUUGUGUUG
rnacentral:lncRNA from 1 species